GGAGGAGUACCCAAGUGGUUGAAGGGAGCGGUCUUGAAAACCGCCAGGGGCCUCACGGCCCGCGGGGGUUCGAAUCCCUCCUCCUCCG
rnacentral:tRNA from 1 species